UAAAAUUUCCCAAGUUUUCUUUGUUGAUUUCAAGUUCAAUACAUUUUCACACUUACGUCUCAUACUUUCUUGAAUAAAAGAAAAGUAAUUUAAACUUAUUUGUUAGCUAGCAUGUGUAUGAGAUCAUCAGUUUCUGUUUCCACAGCUGAAAAAGAGUCUUUUUUCUCAAGAUUACGGAAUAUGUUUCAUCUCAGAAGGAAGGAAGAGGAGAAGAAGAAGACAAUGACAACGACAAUAAUGACAACAGCUACUACUACUAAUACUACUACUAACUGUUUUCCUGUGAGUGACAAUAGUUGUAGUAGUAACAAGGGAGAGUUAGAGAGGGUAUUUACCUACUUUGACGAGAACGGAGAUGGAAAGGUAUCACCAGCAGAGCUAAGGAGGUGCAUGAAGGCGGUAGGAGGUGAACUGACGGUAGAGGAGGCAGAGAUGGCAGUGAGGCUAUCAGAUUCCGAUGGGGACGGGUUGUUAGGAUUGGAGGAUUUCACGAAGCUAAUGGAAGGAAUGGAGGAAGAGAGGAAUAAAGAGAGUGAGUUAAUUGGAGCAUUUGGAAUGUAUGAAAUGGAAGGAUAUAUAACACCUAAGAGCUUGAAGAGGAUGUUAAAUCGACUUGGAGUUCAACCUUAGAUGCUUGAAGAUGAGCCAACUUUGCUUUCUUUUGGUUGAGACAAGUAGAUGAAGCAUUCAACCUUCCUCUUGCUUGAGCUUCCCGUUGUUCGAAGUAACCAACUGAUGAAGAAAAGCUUGAUAAUUUUAGAAGCUUUUCAUGCGCACCUUCAAGCUUCAUUCUCAACAAACUUAAGUCCUCUGAUACAGGAUUAUGCAAAACAUCUGAUGAUUUGUCUUCCAUUACAACAUCCUGCUUCAGAUAGGAGGCACAAGGAUCCUCGGGAAGUUCAUGUGGUACAGCUUCUGCCGUUGAUUCAGGAUAAAUGGUUUCCACCAUCAUGUAAUUGCUUUUGCCCAAUACUUCAGAAGUAUGUUCUUUACCUGGUUUUAAUGGUUUAUUCUCUAUAAUUUCUGUAGUCUUGUAGCUAGGUAGUUCAUCUGAAUCAGCAGUAAUAUUGCUUUUCUGUAAAGUUACUGUCUCCCCUGACGAAACAAUUUCAUCUAAAUCAUGAUUUUGUAAAGCAUGUUCAAAAAAAUGUUGGUUGUCAUCUUCAA